GAACGAUAUCUGGCAACAAAUUAGAAAGGAAAGCAUAUAAUUUUAUAAGCUCUGUCUGCAGCUGUGAACAUGACUAACACUAUUUGAAUGAUUUAAAGGGCCAGCCAAGAGAAACACUGCUGUAGAUUGAGGAGAAAAAUGCAAAGCAUAGUCCUAACCUUUCAUUUUAUUUGUAUCAUUCAAAAAUCUUAAUAAAAAUUACUUAAAAAGAAUAUGUUUUGAAAUGAACUGAAGGACGCAACCACACAUCACAACCCAACAUUUCACAAAUGCAAAUAAAGAGGCCUGUGGCCAAGUUAUAUCAAAAUGAGGUCAAGGUGGCAAAUGUCAUUAAUGAGGAAAAUCAGACAAUUUAGGGGAAGCUACAGAAGUUUGCUUUGCCCUGAGUCUACUGAGAAGGACAAAUCUGCUGUGAUUGAAAUAAGGUGAGGACUAAGAGUCAGAAGCAACUGAACCAAUAAACAACAACAAAAGGAGGAGCAGAUAGAAACCAGGGGAUUUUAUGAGCAACUGAAAAAGUGGGAUAUUAGAAGAUUAAAAGGGACUAUUCCUUCCAAACUGGGAAUGUUGGAGGGCAUCUCAAUAGAAAGAGACAUAUAUAAUUUGGGAAAGGAUGACUAAGUGAGAAACAGCAUUGUGUAUGAUAGCCAGCAUGGUGUAGUUGUUUUGAUGUGAGUCCUGGAGACCAAAGUCUGAAAUCCCACUUGUCAUGGAAAACUAUCCAGUGACCUUAGCAGUGUCACACUGUCUCAGAACCAGAAAAAGGCAAUGGCACCCCCCCACACACACACACCCAGAACAGAUGUUGCCUGCUCUCAGAAUCAUAAUAGGUUCUCCAUAGAGUUGGCAUAAGUAAAAAAGUGUUCAGGUACAAAACAAGUUAGUACAGCAAUUCAGGAAUCCUAAUUUUAAGUAGAUACAAUGGUGAUUUGGAUCCACUAAUUUCCUAUGUAGAAGUGGACCUCCAAGUCCCCAACAAGCCACUCCUCCUUCCAAAAGUAGGCAAAACCAUUUAUUUAUUUAUUUAUUUAUUUAUUUACAGUAUUUAUAUUCCGCCCUUCUCAACCCGAAGGGAACUCAGGGCGGAUCACAAUGUAUAUACAUGGCAAACAUUCAAUGCCAUUAGACAUAUAGACAGAGACGAAGACACAGAGGCAAUUUAACAUUUUCUAGCUUCCAGGCUUCCUGAGGCUAUGCUCGAUUCCGGCCACAGGGGUAGCUGCUGCUUCAUCAUCCACUGUGACACCGAGUCCUUGCUGGAUUGCUUUCUUGUUCCUUUCUGCACGCUGCUGGAUGAUUUUUAUGGUCUUGUAAAUUAGUUAAAUUAACCACAUCCUGUGCUAAAGUUAUGUUGCAUGUAGUUCAUGCAUUAAUACCACUGUGCAGCCCUUGUGUAGAAUUGCAGCAUGGCUUAACUGAAUCAAGAUACCAAGACUGCUAUGGAUUUUGAAGAGGCACGAAUAGAGGGAGAAAGGGGAAAAUGUGCCAAGAGAAGGCGUGUCAAGCAAACCCUUGUCGGGACCAUCUUCCAUCUGGAAAACUAUGGCCUCAUUGUAAUAGACCAUGCAGAUCCAGAAUAGGUCUCUACAGUCACAUACCGACCCACCGCCAAGACUCUACACUUGGAAGACAAUCAUACUCGGCCACAAGUGAUAGCUUAUGAUAUGAUAUGACCAAAUGUAUAACUAAAUGCUUUCAACUUGGAAUUGUAUGCAGUAGAUCUACAGCAGGCAAAAGUGACCAACUGCUUCCAUAAGAAAACUUAGACAUGUGGAAGAUGGCAAUGGCAUCCCAGCCUUUGAGCCGCAUUAAAUGUUUAGCACAUGGCUCUGAAUAUGCAAAAUUAGAAGGGUAAACUUAAACCACAAUUCCAAAGGCUUAAAAAAAGACUUUAACUGAGAUUUAAAAACAGUAAAGGCAUAGUCUAUAUAGAUAUACAUGUGUGUGUAAAUGAUUUCGAGGCUAUGUUUUCAUGGGAAAAAAUAAUGCAGAAUAUUUUUUCCCUGCAGUUGCCCCAAAUCCAGCAUGUGCCUAGUAAAUCCAGAGCCAUGUGCCCAGAUCAUCAAGCCCAUCCUUUUGCUGCCCUGUCCCUUUGUUUGCAUGCCACUGCCAUUGCUCCUUGACAUCCAUGGAGCUUCCUGUGAGUGUCUGGCAAUGGCCUUUGUGUCUGCUGAAAUCAUAAUGAGGAUUAUGAUCAAGCCUCUCCUUCUUGCUGGUCACACUGCCAACCCAUUCUGAAAUCAGGAGAAGGGUGAAGGGGGUGGUGACCCUAUGGACAGUGGAUCAGGCCAAAAGGGACCCAAUCCCACUGUCCAGACAGCUACCAAGCCAGUAGAUAUGCUACAAAUACCAAAGUAUCUCCCAACUUUGCUUAAGUAGAGCAAAGUCUGGGUAAAGGCAAAACACUCGGGAUCCUAAACAGAAGUCACUAUGUAUUACGGAGACCAGUGUUUCCCAAAUGGUGGUCUUUCAGAUGUUAUCAACUUCAUCUCCCAGAAUCCCAGAUCAUUGGACAAGGCAGCUGAGCCUCCUUGGAGUUGAAGUACAAAAUACAUGGAAGACUAGAGUUUGGGAAUCAUUGGUGUAGAGUGCCACAGCCGGAUUCAAGGUGGAGUUCAGAUUUUUUAUUUGUGUAAACCAGGGGUCCCCAAACUAAGGCCCGGGGGCCACAUGCGGCCCAUCCAAGCCAUUUAUCCGGCCCCCGCUGCGGCAGCUCCCUCCUCCUCCUUCACCUGGUGCAUGCCUUCCAAAGCUUUGCUUAUUUAUAAUGGCAUUUUUAUUAUUAUUUAAUUAAUUAUUAAUUAUUAAGGGGUGCUUUGCUAGUGUUUUUGGUGCACAAAGGCAGAAGGGGGUUGGACUAAAUAGCACAAGGGGGCUCUUCCAACUCUCUUUGUUGUUGUUGUUGUUGUUGUUAUUGGCACAAAGUAUAACACAGGAAAUGAGAUCUAUAUGCUGGAUUUCGAAUCACAAAAUCACAAGUCAAAUGCUUCCAGGUGUUUAUUAUUAUUAUUAUCAACAACAUUGAGGAUGGGUGGCCAUCUGUCAGGGGUGCUUUUUUGUGCUUUUGGUGCACAAAGGCAGAAGAGGUUGAACUAAAUGGCCCAAGGGGUCUCUUCCAACUCCCUUUAUUAUUUUGAUGAUGAUGAUGAUGAUGAUGAUGAUGAUGAUUAACAUUGAGGCUGUAUUUGUUCCCAUUUUGUUUUUGUUUUUCAAAAUAAGAUAUGUGCAGUGUGCAUAUGUAUUUGUUCAUAGUUUUUUUUAAAAAAACUAUAGUCCAGCCCCCCCCCCCCCCCCAACGGUUUGAGAGACCGUGAACUGGACCCCUGUUUAAAAAGUUUGGGGACCCCUGGUGUAGACAAGCCACAAAUGAAUGUUGAAGUUGAGCGGAGGAGCAAAAACACCUAGGUUGGGUAGGGAACAUGGAGUUUAAUGAACACAGUUCCUGAAUAAAACAACAAUGAGAAAUGAGGACUUACAAACAGGGAGAAGCUAAAAGAUGCAGGCUUUAACCUCUACUGAAGUAAGAUUAAAAGUAGCAUGAUGUGAUCAAAAGGAUAUGCUGAAAAGAUAAUCUAAGUGGCAGAAAUCUGGAAAGAAAUGACGAGGGAAAGACCAGUUAAUGGAAGACCGGUUAACAAAGAAUUACAGUAAUCAUGAUGAUAAAUGAGUAAAGCAAGAACAGCAAAGGUCUUUGCAAAAGAAAAAGCCUGAAAUGGUCUGGAGAUACAAAGAAAAAGUGACAUGACUUUACUUAGUUUCAAUAUAAAGAACAAAAACAGAGUCAAUAAUAAAACUAGGAAUGCUUGUGUGCUUCCUCACCAAAAUGAAAAAGAACAUUAUUAGCAGUGAUAAAGAAUAUAGAUUGGGGAAAGGAUUUAGUGGGAAAACAAGCAAUUCCAUCUGUGUUAUAUUAAGUUUCAGAGAUGAAGAACAACCAGAGUCCUUCCAAAUGGCUUUUUGCUGCAUUCAUUGACCUCUCCUCAGCCUUUGAUGUAAUUAAUAGGAAUCACUUUUAGGGCAAGCUUGCUGGGAUCAGUAUCAAUACUCUUCAUUUACUAUACAAACAUGGAUUAGCACAGAGGAUUGGUGGAGGAAAUGUGUAUAACAAAAAGAGUCAGACUAGAGGUGACUUGUUAAAACCUCCUGUUGAAUCUUUAUAUUAAUAGCAAUGUAACUAUGUUAAAUUGCCCAGAUCCUUCAAUAGGAAAAUGUGAAAUGGUCAUCUGAAUAUAUGCUGAUGAUCCUGUUUCAGGUGACAAUGAAACAUCCAUAUUGAAACUGCUGAGACGUACCAUAACAUGAUGCACGGUGUCUGAUGAAACUUGUGGAGUGUAGCAAUAAAGCUGUGUGUCACCAACGUAAAAGUCAUAACACUAAAUAAGAUUACCUAGCAACAAUGGAUAUAAAAUGAAAGCAACAAAGGACCCAGAGAAGAACCAUAUGCAGACUCUACCAAAAGAGAAAAAUUGCAUGAGACAGAACCAUAAGCCAGAACAUUAAAAUAAUGGACUGAGAGAUAGAAAGUGAAGCUCUUUAUGACUGGACUGGAGGAGGAGGUGGAAAAGGAGGAGGAAUACAUCAUCCCCACCUCAAUGGAGGAAACCCAUUUCUGCUUAAGAGCCAAACUGUCCAUGACAAUAAAAGUGUUUAACAAUU